AGCCUCAUUCUAGAUGAGAAUGGGCACCAUUGAUCAGUGUCCAAAAUUGGUCAAUGUGGCUACGUUGACACAGGUUCUGCUUCCAUCAUAGUGUAUGUAUUGCAGUGGUGACCAUGAGACCUGUAACAUUU
ensembl:snoRNA